rnacentral:tRNA from 1 species
UCCCUAGUGGCUCAGACGGUAAAGUGUCUGUCUGCAAUGCAGGAGACCUGGGUUCGAUCCCUGGGUUGGGAA